rnacentral:lncRNA from 1 species
CAACUCAAAUUCCAAGCAAGGAAUCCAUCCAGAGCGGAGAAGGUAUUCAACUUCCUUUGCCAAUGAUUCAUCGGUUAGAGAAGGCAGGUAAGAGAGAGUCUCGAACUUCUUCUUCCCAAUUGGAGGCCAGACCUGAACUCAACAAAUUCCAAUAAAUUAGAAAUGUGUAAGAAUGUAAAAGAACAAUUGAAAUUACCCAGAGAAGAGAAAAGAAAAGAAAAGAAAAAACAGUACCUGCAUGCAUUGAACUUUUCCACCAUUGCUGGCUACGGAGGUAAUAUCAUUGUUGAGCUUGCGGGUAACUGGGAAGGCUGAGGAUGAUUUAAGGCCAGUAAAGGGUGCGACCAUGCUAGCCUGAGCCGCGGUGGCUCGGUUAACGGACGACACAGCUGCUGAUGGAACCAUGGAGGAAGCCAUUGCCCUUUCUACUUCUUAAUUUGCUGCUAUCUACUACUGUUUGGUGGUCAGUUUGAGAGGCCUUCUUAUUGCUGCUUCCUCCGCUAUAAAUAGGCCAAUGCAUGCUUGUUUACUUCCUUCCAAAUCUGGCGGCUAAAAUUCAUUCAGUAAUUUCUUGGACAUUUAUGGGCCGUUAGAUUGACAUUACACUAUGAUGGCCACAUAAAUAAGAGAUCUGAUAGCCUUAUCGGUAAGCACGUCACAGCUUCUGCCACGUGGCAGUGAAUUAUUAUCUUACUUCCUAUGAUCAAUUAGGGCUUCAAUUUGUGGUGUUGGUCAAGCCUUUGAUUGUCCCUUCAUUUCUGAGUUACGCGUAUGUGUUAGGGGACCUUUAAGUGAACUUUUGUCUGAUCAAAUUAGCAUUAACAAUGCUUUAAUAACCUGAAUUAGUCUAACUAAUUUUAACUAUAAUCAUGAACGAAAAAAAAAAUUGAGAUAAAUGGGUAAUUUAACUUGAAACUAUUUUACAUCACAUGUAAACAUAAUAAACUAUAUCUUUAUAAUGUAGUAAGAAAAUUUCAUCAAUUUACUAAUUUUCUAUAUGAUGCUAAAACAAUUCUAAUAUAUCACAAUUAACAUUCUAUCUACUUCAAUUUUGAACAAUAAAAUACUUAGUUUUCAGGAACACACAUAUAAUUUUAUAAUGUCAACAAAUUAAUGUUUAAUGAGACCAAAUAUUUCUCCAUAACUACUAUAAUUUUUAGUAAUCUUUUAGGAUACACUAGUAUUCAUUCAAAUUGUUUACCGUGAUUGUGAUUAGGAAUAUUUAUAAGCUAUGUUUAAAGUCAAUAUAUUAUGUUAUUGUAAUCUCAUAUAAAUACAUUGGUAUACACAAUCUACUACAUAUUUAUCAUUUUGAAGUAAUUUAUGAAAUAAUUUUUUACUUUAAAUUAGUACAAGAUGUUGAGUGGAAAAAAAGAGAUUACACCAAUAGUGGCCCAACUACAUUUAAUGUGACUUUAUUGUUGGUCACACACUAUUAAAAAGAAGAAAAAAAAAGAAAGAAAAGGAGGAUUGAAGCCCAAAGGAAAAAGUUCAAGACCCAAUAGCCCUCUAAAUUAAUCAAUCCCAACAUGUUUUCAAAUUUCGAAAGCCUACUCAAGAUAGCCUCUUAAAUCAAUGCAGCCCAAAAAUAAGUUACCCUUCCUAGCUCUUCAAUCCAUCGGCCCAUACAUAAACCCAAUGCUACCUCCAGAUAUCCAAAAUGUCGCCCCGUUUUAUUUUCAAUUUCUUUUCUUCCUUCUUUCGACUACAGGAAUUGAGAGGGAGAUGGCCUUAAGUUUGCUUCUUUUAUCUGAAAACGAAAACGGAGAGGAACAGACAGCGCUCGUGCUGACAACAGAGAGGAUUGAGGCGCUUGGCGAGAGAGAGGAAGACGUCAAGACGUAGGAAAAAGUGGGAACGUUCCAUGUGAGUAGCAGUUGAAUAGAAGCCGGAACCAAAAAGACAAGUGGCGCUGUUGGUAUCAGAGCAGGCUGUGUUUUGACUCAAGGUAGAAAUAGAGCGGAUCAAUUCCUCGGUCUGUGGAUAAAAAAAAGAGAACCCAGAAUGAGAUGGAGGAGUCGGUGAAGUAAGGAGGAGAUUUUUGGGCAUCCUUGAGCAGAAAACAAGAGUAGGCUUGGGGAAGAAAAUUGCAAAAAAGGCUGAGGAGAAGAGGAUUAAGGGCUCGAGGCGAGUUGGAUAAAAACCCAACGCGGGUGAUGUAGGUCUGCCCUCUUCUCUCCCUUUCGCAAAUUAUUUUGAUCAUUCUUUAGUUAUUGAAGAUGAUUGGAACCUGAUGUGACUUGGAUAAAUGUUUUUUCUUUUCUGUUGUCUUUUAGAAUGCAUUCGCAUUAACUGUUUGGUAAAAUGACUAAAAGAAAUUUGUUGACGAGGUACUGUAAAACGGUUUUAUUUUUGUUUCAUAUUGUCAAUCCCCCAUAUAUUAUCUAACUUGAACUUCGAUGUUUCCCGCUUUAAGAAAAAAAAUAAUGGUUAGAAUGAACUGGCAUCUUUUGAUUAAGUUUGAGAUACAUUCUGCUACUUACCCAUCUGUUUAAGGAUUUCUUAAUGCUUCAUGAUGGCUCUUGAUUAAUCAUUAACAGCAAGAAUGUACAUAUAGGUUUAGAGACAUUAGGAAUUGAACAGAACAGUGAUGCAUAUUUGGUUUUGUUGGCAUGAUGUUUCUGUAUUUGGAUCAGUUUUAUAUACUUCUAAUUGCUCUUAACGUUAUGGUUGAAGGAUUACAUGCACGGUGUCUCCUGUACUAUAUUUCUGUGCUUCUGUUGAUGCUUUUGGUUAAUUCCGAAUUCAUCAUGCUCAUGCCUUCAUUUCCAUAAUUUACUAGUCGUGACUUGGACACCUUUCAUUGGCCACUCCUUUGACUUACUGUUAGACUGUGUUUCUUCCUCUUGCAUGGCAUGAUACCAUUAUGUUUGGAUUGCUAAAUGUUGCUUGUCGGACUAAAUGUGAGUCUUUAAGUUUAUAUGUGCAUUUACUGACCUUCUGCAAGGGGCCUUCCUAUUGGAGCUUUUUGCUUCUCACUUACUAUGAGAUUUUUGCUUAUUGUAUUGGAUUCCAGGUAUACUGGUUUGCUUUUUGAUUCACUGUUGGAGUUUUGCUCUAUACAUAUAUGAUUAUUAAAUGGUAUGUUGCAUGCUUGGGCUUUCUGCAUGUAGAUUAAUACUUUUGAUAAAGCAUAUAGUGAAUUCCAUGAUAUGAUGUGAUAAACAGAUUGGAUGAUGAUUUUAGGCUACUAUUUGUUUCGCUGUUGUUUUUAUCAAAGGACCAGUUACUGCAGUCAGGCUACUACUUUUAAUUUAGUAAGCAACAAAGAAGCAGUGGCAUGAGAUUAAUAAAUUGGAUAAGCCAUUUAAAUUUUUUACAUUUGAUAAGGACUAAGGAAAUGAUAGAAAGAAAUAAGAUAAACAUAAAAAAGAAGAAAAUGAAUAAAAAUUCAGCAAUCACUGGAAGGGUACAUUGGACUUGCAAAUCAGGAAACGUCAGAAGGCCUUUUGGAAUGAAGGGGCAAUAGAUUUUUGUUAUGUAUUUUUCCCUUUUUGUUUUAUUUCUCCUUUUUAUCUUGAUUUAUUUCUGAUCCCUCAUUCCCAAUAAUAUUUCAAAUAUUGUAGCUCGUGAUUUUUUAUUUAUGUAUGAAUGAUAAUAUCAGGAACUUGCAUUACAGAUAGGAGGGUACUAUUUAUGUGUAUACAAAACAUGUACGCCUUCUUAUUCUGGAUCACUUUGAACUUUAAAUCUCUGAUUUUGAUAGUUGCUUAUUUUUUUCUAAAUUUUUAAUUUUAUAUUUUUUUGGAGCUUGGUCUUGCAUUACUGUUUUGACUCAAAUCAUUUUUAUGAACGACACUUUAAUUCUUCUAUAAUAUUUUGUUAAAAUCUGUGAGUUCUUAGUAAAUUCUGAACCAAAUUCAUAUGAUAUUAAUAGCAAAAAGAGUUGUCCAAUAUGUACAUAAAUCAUUGUAGAUCUAUAUAUUUGCUUGAUGUGGGAUUACAUUACUAAAUAUUCUCUCUUGAAUGGAGCAUGGACUCCUUAUGCGGAGGAUGUUCUUAAAGCAGUCAAGGUACAAACAGAAUACCUCCCCUCAUGCAGCAAGUAUGUGAGCGUAUAAACAUAAGUAUAAAAGAAUUAGCUUUCAUGUAAGUUUCAUUCAAAAUCAUGUGACAUUGUGAAGAAUUGCUGAAAAUGAAACGGCCCGUGAGGAAAUAAAUUAUGAAUUGAAUGCAGAAGUAAAAUAAUAAAUUAUGGUUCACAUUCCUUACAAAAUAAUUCGAAAUAACCAAUAGAGAUAUAAUGACUAUUAUAAAAGAACAAUUAAUAAUUAAAGAAAUAAAUAAAAAAUGAACAAACUAAACAUCCUACUCGCAACGCUCUUGUGAAUCGGAUUUUAAAUCUUGAUACUCUUGAUCUGAAAUGGUUAAUAAAAGAGUGAGUUACACUAGUGCAGUAAGAAUAUCACACUACUCAACAUAUAGAAAUGAAAGUUGGUAGAAAUUAUAAAAAUAACUAAUGGAGUUCUUAAUUUAAGUAAAAUUUAUUUAUCAUAAUAAAUCAUUACCGUAUACUACCGUACGAGAUUANNNNNNNNNNNNNNNNNNNNNNNNNNNNNNNNNNNNNNNNNNNNNNNNNNNNNNNNNNNNNNNNNNNNNNNNNNNNNNNNNNNNNNNNNNNNNNNNNUCAUCCCUCAAUACUUCAUCUGGUAUGAGUGUGAACGAGUUGUCCUAAUAUCCCGUCCGGUAUGAGUGUUAAAUUACCAAUUCUCGAUACGUUGUACGGUAUGAGGUAACGUUCACGGUAAGGUUCCUUAUGUACCCAAUCCAUCCACCAUCUCUCAAGAUAUCCACUAAGAUUACAAUUUAUUCAUUCACUUAAUCAAACAAUUUCUCGUUUACCUUUAAUUUUCAGUUUCUCAAUUAACUAUAAAUCACGUAAAACAAGCAAAACAUGCAUCAAGAAAACACAAUCGAAUUAUUAUACUAAUUCCAGUGUAUUAUCAUGUAUUCAAAAUUGUAAAAUCAAUCAAUCAGCGAAAUAUGAUAAACAGUAAUAAAUAACUGAUUCCGACUCCAUUAGUAACAUUUAAUUAUCGAUAUUUUUAAAUUACGUAAAAUACCAUAUUAUUUACAAUUAAAAUUCAAUUUCAUAACCGGGAAUAAAGUGAGGGAUUCUUACUCAAAAUUGAUGUCUGAAAUGCUAGAUUUUCAACUGCGCCUACUGGCAGUCUCCAAGUUCCCUAAAUUUUUUUUCGGGGAUUAAAACACGCUUCAAGUACCUAAAAAUACUCCAAAAAAUUCAAAAUCAGUGUUAAAAAUCUCUUUUGGCCAAUUCUGGAAUUCCAGCACGGCGACUCCGCUGCCCGCGGCAGUUUACCUCGGGUUAGCCAUUUUCGGCCAAUUUUGUAUCAAUCCCUGCGAGAAAAUAUGUUAAGCGGCAUCAGUUGUUUGAAAAAAGUUAAAAAUCGAAACUUACUGGCGGCAGAGUUUUCUGAUGCAGUGGCUCCGCCGGCUCACCUUCGCGGUUGGGUGUUUUGCUUUGAUCAACCUAUAGAAAAAGGAAUGGUGAUUACAAUGGUGAAAAAAUUAUACGAAACGGAAAUCGGAAAGUGCCUCAUCGGAGGUGGUUUUUGUUUUUUUCUCGUGGUGGCGUCGCUGGGCUUUACCUAUGGUUUCAAGCUCAUUCGCCUAUCAUUUUGCUUCGAUUUGGUCAUGAAGGUGUUCAAAAUUGAAUUUCGAGUGAAUGAGAAAAACUUUACCUCUUUUGGCAGUCGGAAGUGGCUCCGCGCGAUGGGAGGCGCCGGUCGGCUCCCUUCCCGGCGAUUGGCUCUUCUUCUUCGGCGGGGGGUCUAGUGGCUAGGGUUUGGGUUUGGUGUGAAGAGGGGUAUUUAUAUCCGUCUCCUUUUAAUCUGGCUUAUCUAUCGUGUUUGAUCUAAACCGUCCGAUUGCGUUUAAAUAGGAAGUGAAUCUGGACCGUUCAUCGCAAGUUGAUCUUGGCCAUCCGAUCAUAUUUAAAUAAGAAAUAGAUAUGGACUGUUCAUUGAGUUUAAUCGCGACCAUCUGAUCGCGUCUGAGGAGGGAUUAGAUCCGGACCGUCUACGCACGCGGGAACAAAUCUGAAUCGUCCGAUCGCAGGCACGCGGAUCGCCAGUGUGGCCUCCCGCAUGACACCGCGUCAGUGUGUCUUGCAACAUGGUGCACUCUGAUUCGUCGGGACUGCUGACUGAGCAUCCUACAUGACACAUUUUUUUUAAAUUAAGUUUUAAUCAUCAGUUUCUGAUUUUUCUUUCAAAAAUACCUACAGAAUCCAAAUUUUCAUUUCAUUUUUUCAAAAUUAUUUUCAAUUUCAUUCUCCACCUAUUUUUUUUUUCUAAUUUUACAUUAAAUAAUAAUUUAUAAAAUUAAAAAUUAAAUUUUAUACAUAAAUUUUAAAUAUUACAAAUUAAUUUCAGAUAUUACAGAAAAUGACACUUAAAAGAUCAUUUAUCUUGCAUAUGCACAGAAAAAAUUAGAUUUCUAGAAUAAAAAUUAGAGAGAAACUAGCAUUUGUUUUUGCCCAUAUUUAAGAUUGUGGAAGCCAUUCCUUUCCGUGAAAGUCGCGCAUGCUGUGAAGAAGAAACCAUAAGCGUCCUGACCCACUGUAUUUAAACUCAUUAUGUUGAAGAGAUUAAAGUUAUGAGGUAUAAUCUCCAUAUGCAAGAGACCUUGAAUAUUGAUGAGAGAUGGCGAGAAAGAGAUGGUAGUAAUAAUUGUGAAAAGGAGAAUUAGUAUAGAUGAUAAAAGGACAUUAUCUCAUAUAAUGUAGGUUUACUCUUUUAUGUACAUUUGGCCCUUCCAUCAUUCAUUCAUUUAUUCAUCAUACCGCAAAAACUGAAAAGGAAAAUUUAGAAACCAGGGGGUUUGUAGGCAAUAAAACUGAUGCACUGCACUUGACGCUUGUUGUCGAAUCCGAUAAUGCGAAUGAAUGAGUUGGGGUAAGCCUUCUUGGCCUCCUCAAGCUCCUUCAACACUUGAGCAGCGUCUGUGCAUCCAAACAUGGGCAGCUUCCACAUGGUCCAGUACCUUCCAUCAUAGUACCCUGGUGACCUGGCGUUCUCACGGUACACAAAUCCAUGCUGCAUUCCAAACAUAUAUACAUAUAUAUACAUACCAUAUUUAUCAGUUCAUCUCCAUCUUCAACAAUUUCAUUAUUUCAUAAAUUUCUAAAAAGAGAAAAGAGAGAAAGAGAGAGUAGAAAACCUCCAACUCAAAUUCCAAGCAAGGAAUCCAUCCAGAGCGGAGAAGGUAUUCAACUUCCUUUGCCAAUGAUUCGUCGGUUAGAGGAGGCAGGUAAGAGAGAGUCUCGAACUUCUUCUUCCCAAUUGGAGGCCAGACCUGAACUCAACAAUUUACAAUUUUAAAAGCUUCAAUCAACUGCCUGCAGUUUAUUGAGUAUAAUUUAUAAAUGCCUAUGUAUGUGUGUGUGUGUGUAUAUAUUUCUAUACGUAUACCUGCAUGCAUUGCACUUUGCCACCAUUGCUUGGAAGGGAAGUGAUGUCAGUGGACUUGCGGGUGACGGGGAAAGCUGCGGAGGAUUUAAGGCCGGUGAAUGGGGCAACUGAGCUGCAGCCGCGGUUGAUGGAAGCAAUGGUUGUUGAUGGGACUAUGGAGGCAGCCAUUGUCAACUUCUUAAUUUCUUAUUGAUUUGUGCUGUAUUAUAUUGCACUGGUGAUAAUCCCUUGCAGCUUAGCUCAUUAUUUAUAGCUUCAGGUGGGACAUUAUGUUCCACUCAUGGCAGACGACAGACCAAUCUAAACAUCUAAUGGUGUCCAUUUCUUUUUUCCAUUUUCCCCAUUUUCUCCUUUUUUUUGUUGUUGUUGUUGUUGCUUAAUGGAUUUUCUGCUGAGGGCUGAAAUAUUAAGCCUUGACAUGAUUAUUGUUAUUUUUUUAAAAAUAAAUCUUACUUUUUCGAUCCCUAGAGGCUCAGAAUUUUCGUGCUUAAUUUUGUAAAUAUAUAGAAGUUCUACUCUCUUUUUUUCUCUUUGAAUUCUCUGUCAAUCAAGUAUUAUUAUUAUAUGCUUUACUAUUAUUUAACUGCUUUGAUUAACUUAGUUAAUGUUCAGCAUGAUCAUAGUUGAGUGGACUAUAUGAGGAAGUCAUCUUCUGUUCUUGAUAAACCUAACUUGUGGACAUGGAGUAAUAGAAAAAGCAGAGCCAGCAAUAAAGCCAUUAGGUUUGUGAUUGAAAUUUUUAGAAGAUAACCCUUUAAAACCAAAGCCUCACAAUCAUUAUUCACAUAAGACAUCUAUCUUUCUAUGAUUUGGGUACAAUUGUAUAGUGGCAAAUUCCUUUCAUUUUGAAAUGAUUUUUAAGUUGGAUUUGGUGUUUACAUUCUAAUUUCAUAUAAUACUAAUAUAUAUACAAAUAUAAUAAAUUUAAACAAAAAUAUCAUUUUAGUUCAAAUCAAUUUUAUGUUUAACUUAAAGUUUUUCAUGAUUCAUUCAUUAACAAGUAAAAAUACAAAAAUUAGAAAUCAAAAAUAAAAAUAAAGUUGAUUUUAAUUAUUUAUAUAUUAAAAUAUAAUUUAUGACUAACUUUUAAUAUCAAAUAACUAAAGCUUAGAAUUAAAUGAGAUCUUGGUUAGUUGGAAGCAACUUAAGUGAGAUCUCGUAUGCCACAGAAAAGAAGGGCGGUCGUCGUGUUUUCUUAAAGAAAAUGAAUACAUUUUAAACUGUUAAAGACGUGAGCGGUCCAGAAGAUUUUAGUUUCACAGGAAACUGAUAUAUAUAAUGUAAUAGAAGGAAAUGAAAGGAUAAUAUAUAGGAACAAUUAGACUAAUUCUUAGAGACUACAAUAUGACAGUUGUUAUUUCUUGAAUGUAUAAUCCAAUACUUACCCACAUAUGGAUAAGAUCGUGUUCCCCUUGCAUUAUACUUUUUUCAACUAUCUAAUAAUUAUAGAAGAUGUCAUAAAUUAUUUUGUUUUGAACAAAUGUGGGUGACGGAAUCAUCAUGUGAAGUUGUUGUUAUAUCUACUUAGAACCAAAACUUUGAUUCUUUACUUGAGAAAAUUAAAACAUGUGGAAACUAUUACAUAUAUGGUAUAAGUUUAUGGUUGGUAGUGUUAGACAACACCCUACAAAAUACAAAAGAAGAUUGAUGAGUUGUAAUGCAGUUCUCUUAAUAAUAAAUAGACUCAAAUAUUAAAAUAUAAUAAGAUGGAAUUGGAUGAAUAUUUUAAGAAAGAUGAGAUACAUUAAACUCAAUGGUCUAAAAUUAAUUGGUUGAAAUGGGAUGACAAGAAUAAAAAUUCUUUCACUUUAGAUCUAUUAAGCAACAACAUUAAAACUUCAUUUAGAAAUGGAGAAAUGAGGGAGGAUAAUGGAUUACAAAUUAAAAAAUGAUUGAAAAAAUCUUAACGAAGAACUUUCGAGGAAUUUUUUUUCAAGAUGAUUCCAAUGACGCUUGGGAUGUGUUGAGUACAGUAGAAAGAAAAGUUCUAACGAACAUAAGUACACUUACGCAUAUAGCAUGACGAGAGUCUUAAACAUUGGUUAGAAGAAAGUUACAAAAUUUAUCACUUUAAGUUAUAAUAAGAAUAUCAUCUAUUAUAUUGUUUUGAAUGGAAAAAAAAAAAGUAUGAUAAUAUAUAUUUAUGAAUACUGGGAGGUACAAACUCAUUUACUAUUUACAUAUCAAUUAAGAUAUCAAUUAGAUCAUUCUAAUCCUCAUUAAUAUAAAGUAGAUGACUCUCAACAAAAAAAAAUUCCUUAACUAUAGAUCCUUAAAUCUAUCAAAAUUAAUUUUUUUCCAUAAAAAACUAUUCUAUUUUUCUCAUUUUCAAAUAACAUAAAAGGUAAUAAAAAGAAUAAGUCUUAAUUUCUCGUCACCUUUGAUGCCACUCCAAGCAUGUAAUCCUUCCUAAAUGAACUUGGUAUCACCGGUCUACUCCUAAAAAACUGCAUACUAAAGACCAAAUCCGAUGAGCAGAUGGGCACUGUAGAAAAAUAUAGUUUGAAGAUUCUAUAUUUUUCUUGUAUAAAACAGUACUUGUUUACUAAAAUCUUUUCCUUCUUAAUUAACUUGUUCAAUGUAAGAAUUAAAAAGGAAAAGAUUUUAGUGAAUGAAUGUUAUCUAUGCAAAAAGAUAAUUCAUUACAUGAGAUAAAUUCAAUUGAUCGUAGAAAAAAGAAUCUUGGUUGGCUUUAAAGUAUAAGGAGUUUUAUAUGUAACACAUGUCCUCAUUAGGUGCUUAUUGUGGUCAUCUCAUGAAACUUCUAAAUUUUUUUAAAAUAAGCAAGAAAAUAUAUAUACAUAUAUAUUUGAUUAGUUAUAUGUUUAAUUUACAUUAUGUGUGUGUGUGUACAUAUAUAUAUAUGUAAGCACUUUGAUAAAGAGAAUUAUAAGUUGAAAAAUUGACAGGAUUAAUGAGAAUUGUGUAAUUUUAAACAAUAUUAUUUUGCUAAAAUCAUAAAAGGUAAAAUAGGAUUAUUGCAUGGCUUAUAAGUUAAAAAGAAAAAAAUAGAUAUGCGUGGCUUAUUUUUUUAUUUUUUUAUAAGUCAGUAACUUAUGAUAGGAUUUGGUAAGGUGUUAAAAUGCACCUUUUAGUUUGUUUGAUAUAUAAUUUUAAAAUUUCACGAAUAGAAAAUAUUAUUUGUAUGACAUCAAUAUUAAAUUUAGAUUCUUUUUAAAAAUUAAUAUUAUCUAUUUUAAUAUUUACUUUUUUUAACAAAAUAUUGAACUAUUAUAAUAAUAAAUUAUUCACAGAAACUAUUAAUAUGUUGUUUCAUAAUUAUUAAUUUUCAACAAAUAUAUGGAACUAUUUCUGCUAUAAUAAAUUACACAUAUAAAAAUAAUAAUAUACAAAAAUUUUUACAAUUUAAUAUAAUUAUAAUUACAAUUACUAAAUCAUCAAUUUUCAAACAUUUUUUAUAAAUAAUAAUAAAUUAAAUUUCUCAUAUUUGAAGGGCAUAUAAAAUUAUAUUAAAGAUUUUUUUUUUUCAUAAAGACUGAUGUAUGAGUAAACAAUUUCUAUGUAACAAUUUAAGAAUAAAUAGAAAGAAAUAUGAAGAUUCUAGCUUUUUAAGAGACAAAUUUGCACUCAAAUUUGAAUUAAAUUUGUUCUUAGAAAAUUAAGAACAAUCUUAUAAUAUUAUCUUUUACUAGUAAUAUCAUAAGAUUACAUAUUUGUCUAAUUUUUUUUAAUUUAUGGUAAUAUAUUAAUCUUACUUUAAAUUAAAAUCUAAUUUAAAUAUAAAAUCGGUUGCUCCAUUUUUGUAAUAUUGUACCAUAAAAUUGAUCUCGACAGACAUGAUUUAUAAAUAUAUACACGCAUUAGAAAUUAAUUAAAAUACAAAUUGCGACAGCCAAAGAAAUCAAUUAGUCAAUAUCUGCAUGUUUCCCAUGGGAAACCUCGCUGUUGCAGAGACACACCUACCCAGUCCAGAGAAAGAAUUAAAGAAGGAGCAAAGUAAGUUCCUGAGGACGCCCCCAUAUUAACAAACCUCAUUUUCCCAAAUACCACUGCUUUUACGCCUCGCGUGACAAACACGAUCAAGAAAAGACUUCAUUUUAAAUCCAACUCCCCAUGACUUCGCGUGGACCCAAACUUUCGGCCCUUUUCCCUCUUCCAACAGUCCCUUCGGUUCCUUUACAGCAAACUUCACACUGCCUACAAAGUAAAGUUCUUACAGUUCACACUAAGCUGCUACUUGCCUCUCUGUUUCUCUCUCGAAGAUUCUGGGAGAUGGGAGAAGGGAAGGGCUCCACUCUGGUGCACCUUCUGGUUGUGGUUCUCAGCUUAGUCGCCUUUGGAUUCGCCAUUGCUGCUGAGAGACGGAGAAGCAUUGUGAACUUUCCUUUCCCCCUUUUCUCUUUUAUGUUAUUCCAGUUACUGGUUUUACAUGUCGGCAUUUUUUCUUGUCUCUAUAUUUCUGAUCUCUGUUUUUGCGAUUCCUUUUUAACUUGUUUUUCUAUCUUGUUUUGAGAUUAUUUAUCUUGCAUUGAUUGCUUCGUUCCUUUUUUAGUAUAUUAAGAUAAUGAACACAUGAUUAUUAAAGAUCUAUGUGUUUUGCGGUGAUUGAUCAAUGGAGUUCUUUCGCUUUUUUAGAAAACGGCUGACGUAGUAUUUUGUCAUGUUGUUCCUACUCUUGUACACGAAAAUAUAUUACUAGGGCUGAAAUUUCUUCUCGUUGAACUAGUUGAACUACCGGUCGUCUCUUCUCAGUUUCUAGUCUUCUGGUUUAACAUGAGUUACUAUCUUGCUGACUUCUAUAUUUUAUAGUGUGUGUGUGUCUUAGGAUUUGUUUUAUUCUCCUAUAUAUAUAUUAUGUAAACGCUAACGUAGUAGUAUAUCCUUUUUCUUUUAUUGACAUUGACCUUCCUUUGAGGCAAUAAGAUUUAGGAGUGAUUGUAUAUGGAGGCUAACAAGAGAGCUUUCUUUCAGCUCAAAACAUCAGAAGGUGCCUAGUUCUGUAGAUAAUUUUCUCCGAAUGAUGUCUUCUGGCAAGAUGACUCUUAUUUGGCAUUAACAAUUAACAUUGCUUAUAACUUUUUUUUAAACUGAUACUUGGGAUCAGUGUUAUGUGGCUACCGCAAAUUUCCUUUCAGAAACAUAAUGUGCAGCUCAAGAUGAUGUGCUCUUCACCAAACCUUUUACUUGCAUCUCUGCUUUCUCCACCAAACUAGUAUUAUACAUAGUUCUUUUUUCUUUUUAACAAUAUAUUAUCUGAUGCGGGAAAGGAAGACCCUUAGAAUUGAUAUUAAUGGAUAUUUGUGAAAUUAAAGCGUGUGUUAUUAAGGAUAUUAAGCUUAUUUAGGAACUACUGGAAUAGGCUUAUUGUCAGCUAGUAUUUUAUUUUUUUAUUCAGUUCAGAGUCUUAUUUUAUUAUUAUUUUUCUAUUUAAUUUUAUGUCAUUUUAAGUUACAUAGACACUAUAAAUACAUGACUGUUUUAUCAUUAUUAAAUAAAUUGCUUAUGAAUAAAAUUAUUGAUUUUUUUCUAAUUGCACUGCGUGGCUGACAACCACGGGAUUGUGGUUGUAAAAAACCCUCUAAUUGUAGUUGUUGCUAAUAUCCCCUUGAUUGUGGAUUGGAUUUAUCCUUUGUUUUCUUUAAUUUUCCUAUCUCUCUAAACUCUACUAUAUUACAUCGAUUUGGCAUCAGAGUUAAGGUUUUUGUUUUUAUAUCAUGCUUCCACACCACUAAACCCUCAAAUACUCCAGAAAGAAACCUAAAAUCUAACAUACCAAACAUAUACAACUUGGAGAGAGAAAUAAAAGCAACAGCCAUCCCAGGUCCAUAUUAUAUCUCCUAUCAUGGCUAGGGAGGUGGUUGAUACCACCUCUCUCAUUGUCCUUAGAGGAUCCCAAUCAGCACCUCCACCAAAUCUCAAUGUCUAUUAUCUCUGGAGUUUGCCUCAUUAGCUAGAAAUCUUUGCAGUUUGCCUCACUAGCUAGGAGAACCAAGGCCACUUUGUAAUCACUUGAUCUCCUCCUUCCCUACUGCCAUGAGUAACACCAAUACCAGCUCCAGAGCUGGGGCCGUUAGAUGAUUCCUUCACCAGAUUACUAAUGUCAGAAGACAGCUAGAAGUUCGUUUAUGACUCUGAUAUGUCGACCACUGCUCAUUGGUUUGAAGCCCUAUGCUGAUUGGUUUAAACCAGAUUGAGUCAAUCUGGUUAAGCUACCUAUAGACUAGUUCUUGACCAGUUUAGACUCAGUCCUUGAGGUUUUUGGUGUUCUUUCACUUUUUGGGGUCAGUUUGGUCAAAUUCAUAUUCUAUACUCACUUUUUGACAGACUGAUUAGUUGGAAAGAUGAAUUAAUGUUUAUUGAUAUAUUCACCAAGGCCAUUGAUUUAGAAUGUACCUUAGACCUUCCAAUUGGCAGAAUGGAAGAGAAAAUGGACGUGUACUAGUAAUGUUAUAGUUCCUUAGGUAAAGGGCUUGAAUAUGGCUUAUGAAUAUUGAUUAUUGCUUACAAACCCUCCAUAUUAAAGUAAUGAACUUCAUACUUCGAGCCAAGUUAAUUAUUGUCUCUUAAAUGUAUAUUAAAAGCUAGUCAAGUUGAUGGUAGAUGCACUUUGUUAUUAAGAGCACUGAUUGCUAAUCAAUUUCUCAAGUACUCAAAUAUCAAUGUCAAACUUGAAAUUGCUUACUGUAUAUGUGAGUUAACUAGAAUAAUGCACCAGAUAUUCCUUAUGAUGAUGCACAAAUGAAGAAGGUUCUUGAACUUAGUGUUUCUAUGUUUGAAAUAUUAGAUGAUAGAGCAAGAUAAUCACAUGUCAAAGAGAUACCAGUGAUGUUUUAACGUCCUUAGGUAAAGGGCUUGAAUAAUGGCUUAUGGACAUUGAUGAUAUGCUUAUAAACCCUCCACAUUCAAUUAAUGAACUCCUUCAUCCCUUGAGCCAAGUUAAUUAUUGUCUCUCAAAAUUUAUCUUAAAGCUAGUCAAGUUGAGAUGCGCUUUUUUCAUUAUUAAGGGAAUUGAUUGCUAAUCUAUUUUGUAAGCACUCAAAUAUCAAUGUAAAACUGGAAGUUGCUUACUGUUUUUGCGAGUUAACCAGAAUAAUGCACCAGAUAUUCUUUUUGAUGCUGCACAAAUGAAGAAGGUUCUUGAACUUAUUGUUUCUAUGUUUGAAAUUUAUAUGACAGAACAAGAUAAUCACAUGUCAAAGAGAUCAUAAUUCUUAAAAUGGUUGUAAGACUUAAGACUAUAUUUAGUAAGUUUGGAUCUUGAUUAUGAAGGAUCAAUUGUAGAAAUGUUCAAGUACUUUCUAGAGUCUAUCCGACCUCAAUGAAAGAAUGUUUUUGUGUACAUGGAAGAAAUUAUUGCCAUUCUUUUAAAAGUGAAUUUAGCUCAGUAGAGUUGCUCUCUUAAGUCCUACAUAGUGUUAGCAGAUAUAACAAAAGAGUUUUGCCAAUUGCUAAUGUGUAGCCGGGAGACUUCUUUAAAGCUGGCUACUUAGCUUGAAUCAUCUUUUAUGCAGAAAAUGAAAUCAUUAGGUGUUUCCUGCAUGAUUGUAGUAAUUUAGUGACCAUCAUAUGCUAUGACCAAUCUGUACUUAUUGAGCAAGGUGAUCUCAUUAUCGUUGAUGAUCCAACUAAAAACAAUAAUAACUAUAUGAAGAAACUAAGGUGAUUGUGAAAGUUGUCCUGAUUUUUAUUGUAAAAAUUGAGUCAUCUGGUCAUGGAUCUCUUAAUUUAGUUGUAAACAAGAAUGUUAUUGAGGUUGAAGACAAUAAUGCUUUAUAUAUAUAUAUAUAUUGUUUGAGGAAGAAGAAGAAAGAGACUCCCCAUUAUGAUACUGCCUUAAAUUUUUCUUGGCUCCUAAUGGUGAUAAGGAGAGUUUGGCCAUUCUCUUUUUGCGGAUUCAAUCAUUCCUAGUUGGUUCACUAGUUAUUAAAAGUCUUUUUCUUUGGAAGCAUUCUCAUUUUCUCAUAACAACCUCAAGUUUUGCUAGUUUUAGAUUUUUGAAAGGCAUGUCCGAGGUUUCCCCUUGUUGCUUUGACAUUUUAAAUCUCAAGAUUGAGUUUUCACUAAAUAGGGGAGGAUGAUGCAGAAAAAAAGAACCCCAAAAUUGAUGUACUUUAAAUUAUGGACUAUUUUUGUACUUCAAAUACUUAUGUAUUAUUAGGGAUAAUGAGCAUAUUUAGGACUAGUAAAGAUAGGUUUUUGGUAGUUUAAUAUUUUAUUUUUUAUUUAGUAGAAGUUGUAUUUUGUUAUUAUUUUCCUAUUUGAAAACUAAUUAUAUUAGGCUAUAUAGACACCUUAUAAAUACAUAAGGUUUUAUUGUAAUUAAAGAGACUGCUUAUAAAUCAAACUAUUGAGUUUUUCCGUUUGAAUUGAGUUCUUCACAAGUCUUUAUUAUGAUUGCCAAACCCUGCAAUCAUGGUUUGGAUUGACUUUUAUUUGUUUUAAUUUCCUCUCUCUCUAAACCAUAAUCAUUUGUGCUAGUCAUAAUACGUUUUGAGUGAAACAUGCAACUGAUAAUCGUGUCGCAUCUUGAUAUUGAUCCAUCAUCGUAUAGCAGUCAUGCUUCUUUAAAUUAUAACCGAGUAUCGUCAUCCCUGUCUCGGUUGGUUGGUCCCAAGAGUUAUCUUGUUCUCUGAUCACCAAGUUCAACCUAUUUGAAUUGCUGAUGCUGCUGUUUUCUAUGUGUGUGAUUAAUAGAAAUUUCUUUUGAACAAAAGCAUUCUCAAUCUUUUUAAUUGGAGAGCAUGGUUUGAUGGUGUUGCUGAUAAUUGUUGGGGAUUACCAAAUGUUGGAUGGAAUCAUUUCCUGAAAAUUGUUCUGGUACUUAAUUGCUAGAGUGUAUUCAGUAUUAACAGGGAAUCAGCAACUGUGAUUACACAUCCUAAGCAGAUACAGUAACUACCAUAACACUGACCAGGGAUUAUUUGAGUCUUGUGUCAUAGUCUAAUCCUAAUUUAAUUAGACUAGAAUUCUAAUAAGAAACUUGAAAGAAUUUAAAUUAUAAAUUAAAUCUUAAUACAAAUAUCUAUUAAUCAUACUGUUAAAGCAAAUAACAGGUUUGAAGGAAAGAAAAUUUUUAAUUUGUUUAGAGAAGUCACACUCUGUUCUGGCGGAUAGAAGAAAAUAUUUUUUGUAGUUGUAAAUAGAAACAACGUUUAGCAAAUAAAAAAAAAAAUAUCAGCCAAAGUAUAAAAGUCAACUUUUUAGGAGACUGUCUUUUGUUUAUGCUUAAUCACCAUAAAUUCACAUGUUAAUACAUGUUUUUCUGUACAGACGCGGGUAGAAAAUGAACAUAAAAAAAAUUUGUUCAUGAAAUGAAGUAUAAUAGCUAAUCUUCUCUGCAUCAGUAACGAUUUGAGAUAUUGUUUCACGUGGUGUAGAAUUUGCAAAAUCUGCAGUUGAAGUUUAGAAAUGUGUUGGUGGAUGGCACCAUAUAAGAAUCACAACUAUUUAAGAAAGUAGAAAUACCAGCUGGAUAGUUGAUUCUCCUAUUAUUGUCAAUUCUAAAUAUGUAAAUCGGCUGUUAUUUUCUGCAUGACAGGGGAUGGUAGUUAAAGAUGAUGUAUCAAAUGCUACGUAUUGUGUCUACAACUCAGAUGUGUCCACUGGGUAUGGAGUGGGUGCUUUCUUAUUUCUUCUUUCAAGUGAAUCUCUACUUAUGGGCGUGACCAAAUGUAUGUGUUUUGGGAGACCAUUGGCUCCUGGCAGUAACCGAGCAUGGUCCAUCAUCUAUUUUGUCUCUUCAUGGUAAGAAUUUUAGGCCCUUGAUGUAGUGAAACUUUCAUUUAUCAUUCUUUACCAGGAAACCCAAUGCUGAUCAGUGCCCCUUUUACUAAUCUAAAUCCUGAUUUGUAAUCUUUUGUUCUUUUCUUUGUUCAAAGUUAAAGGUGUUACUUUCAGGUUUCUUUCUUUUUCUGAGGGAAUUGAGAUUUUUUGCACCUGUAUGCUACUAGGCACCAAUGUUAUUAUAAGAAACCUGUAAAUUACCAAUUUUUUGUAUCAUCUUGUCAUUUGACAAGCUUUGCAGUUGGUGAGAGGCUCUACAUGGAAUGCUCAACAAAUCUUUAUAGGAAUUUCCCCCCAUGUGUCACUUGUAGAAAUUUAUUUUAUGGAAAAAAGUUGUGCAUUAGUGAUGGAUUAUCUACUUAAGCACUCAUAACAUGUUACUAAAAACUUUAGAACUUAUUUCUGUAUGCAAUAUCUGUUUUCAGGUUGACUUUUCUGGUUGCAGAAGCUUGUCUAAUUGCGGGUGCCACAAGGAAUGCCUAUCAUACCAAGUAUCGGGGAAUGAUUUAUGCCCAGAAUUUUUCCUGUGAAACAUUGCGAAAAGGUGUUUUCAUUGCAGGAGCAGUCUUUGUGGUGGCAACAAUGAUUCUAAACGUGUAUUACUACAUGUACUUCACUAAGGCAACUACUACACAGGCAGCUCAUAAAACAAAUCGUGCAAAUUCAACUGUUGGGAUGACUGGGUAUUCAUAGAACCACCUUCCGAGCUUCAUAUCCAUGUUUUGCUGGAUUUAUUUGGGCCUGUGUUGAUUGUAUUCUGAAGUCUGCUCUCGUUACUAUGUGCUUAUUUAUUGGUACAUAUACAUAGUCUCCUUAUGUAUCUCCUGUGCUGAUCAAGACCAGAGGAUAAAAAAUUUAAGAAGAAAACUUGAGAGUGUUUACAAAUAGUUGUACCACUUGAGAUUUGGAAGUGCGUAACCGACUCAGCGAAAGGAAGUUGGUUCCCUCUUUCAUGUUUCUUUUAUGUGAAGAGUAUUUUGCUAGAUAGAAUCUAAAUGUGUGCACACAGGUUUAAGGUUUGUCUAAAUUUGUUAUUUAGGGUUGAUUGAAUUUUCUACGCCAUCUUGUUUUCAUUUAAUCCAUUUCAAGUGUGAGGUAUAUUCGACUAGUAUAAACUUAGUUUAGCUUUAAUUCUACUUUUAACCUGAAUUAAAGAAAUGUCUUGAUGGCAUAUUAGGUGACAAAAUUCAAGUGACAUGUCAUUGCUAAAAAUGGCAUGUAGGACAUUAUAUUAAGGUAGUUUUAGAACAUUUAUUGAAGUGUUUAUCAUAUGUUAAUGAAAGGCUAGGUAGGAUAUUAAUUUAUUACGUAUAUUCGUAUUAAGAUAACUUAAUUAUUACAAAAUAGUAUUUUUACAAGAAUUUUGACAGCUUGUAGGAAAGAAAUCUUACUUGAUUGUUGCAGUUCACAACAUAUUAAUGAGUUAACUCCUAAAUUCACUUAAUCAANNNNNNNNNNNNNNNNNNNNNNNNNNNNNNNNNNNNNNNNNNNNNNNNNNNNNNNNNNNNNNNNNNNNNNNNNNNNNNNNNNNNNNNNNNNNNNNNNNNNNNNNNNNNNNNNNNNNNNNNNNNNNNNNNNNNNNNNNNNNNNNNNNNNNNNNNNNNNNNNNNNNNNNNNNNNNNNNNNNNNNNNNNNNNNNNNNNNNNNNNNNNNNNNNNNNNNNNNNNNNNNNNNNNNNNNNNNNNNNNNNNNNNNNNNNNNNNNNNNNNNNNNGCCACCCUAUGCCUUCAAAUAGCCUAUCCAAAGGUACUAUAAAAGCCUCAAGUCUAACUAAUUUAGCAUAUAAAGAAAAUCCAUGCACUUAGACAAACAAACAUACAGGACUCACAGGCAUUAAAGCUUGACUUAUCUGAGUAUUGGCCGAUUCUCAUUAGAAUCUCCUAUUCCCUAAUAUAACAGUCACACAUUCCACUGCCACCUUUUCUAAUCAUCAUCACUUAUAAACACUGAAGGCUCCUAUCUCCAUUUUACCUGCACAAUUUCUUUUAGACGAGAGAAUGUCUGCUUAAAAGAUGCAGCUUGUUCCCAAUUCAUUCACAAGGCAUGGUCUCAACCAAUUUUAGGAUCACCUGUCAUAAAUUUUGCUAAAAACUAAAAAUUGUUAGAGUUUGUCUUAAAUAAUAGAAUAACAUUACUAUGGAAAUAUAUAAAUCCCUAAAUGACCUUUAUAUAAAAUUCGAUCAUCUUCAACAACUACCUUCUUCUUUGGAUUGACCAAAAGAGUUUUCAAUCCUCAAGCAACUUGAUGGCCUUCUCACUCAGCAAGAAAUCUACUAGAGACAAUGAUCAAAAGAUCAAUUGGUACACUCAAGUAAUAGGAAUAUCACCUACUUUCAUAUAUAGGUCACCAACUGUAAAAGGGAGAACUUUCUAUCAUGUACUUACACUGACUCAAGGAAAUGGCUCACAGACCUUAAGGAGAUAGAAGAUAAGAGAAUAUCGCCAGAAUUCUAGCUAACUGCUCAUUGUCCCUUUUAGGUCAAAUUAUCUCCUCCACCCAACAUGCUUUUAUUCAAAAUUGAAAAAUACAUAAUAACUCUUUGUUGAAAUAGGAAAUCAAACAUUUACUCAAAAAAAAGCGAGGGAAACAAAGCUGGUUUACCCUCAAGUGUGACAUGAAUAGAGCUUGUAAUAAACUUGAAUGGAGUUUCUUAACUUAAGUACUUCACAGCCUAGGUUUUUCUCAAAAAAUCAUUCAAGUACUUACGCAGUGCUACAUGAUUAUUUCCUAUCAUAUCCUUAUUAAUGGUACCCUAUGAAGGGAACCCUCCCUCAAUACAAGCUUAACAAGGAGACCUUUUAUCUCUUUAUUUAUUUAUCCUCUACACGAAUGUCCUAUCUAGGAUGUUUAAUUUUGUGGACAAUCUCUAUCAUAUAUCAGGUAUGCAAAUAAAAUCAUCUACUCUCUCUAUUAUCCAUCAACUUUAUACAUAUGAACUUUUGCUCUUUGGUCAGCCACCAACAAAUAAUCUUCAAAACUAUCUCCACAUUCUUGAAUCUAUUGUACUUGGUUCGAACAAUCUCUAGAUUAUGAUAAAUCUCAUAUCAUCAUAAGCCCUAAUCUCCCUAUUACACUUCAACACCAGUUAAAAUCAACUUUCAAGUUGUCACCUAUGCCUAAACAUUGCAAGCACUUGAGACUGCCCCUUUCAAUUACUGAGCGCUCUACUAAACCAAUUUAAGUACAUCUAGACACAAUGAGAAUAAAACUACAAGCUUGAAAAAAAUCAACACUCUCCUUUACAGGUCAGGCGAUGCUAGUGGCUCUUACGACCUAUUCCAUGUCUAUUUAUGUCUCAUCCAACAAAUCAUUAAAUAAGCCACUCAAAUCAUUAGGAAAUUCUAGUGGGGUAUCAAGGAUUAAAGACAACAUUGUGAUAGGUGCCUAGAACAAUCACAAGAAGGAUUGCACGUAAGUUUUUAUUUUUGGGAUAAAAAACCCACACCUUUUAUCUUAUUUUUUGCUUACCUCCUCAUCUAUAAUCUGAUGAGAUUUAAAUAGAAAUGAAACAACAACUUCUCCUUGCUAUCCAGGGAGCACGACGCCAGUAACAACCAAAAAAAUCUCACACAAAAGGAUAAGAUCAAUGUUGAAAUUAAAUAAUCAAAAAAAUGGGGAAGUUGAUGCUGAAUUGUUUGACCAGAUCUUGCGGGAGUUCAGCUUGCUUCCACGAUACCGAAAUCAGAGAUAUUUGGGAUUCUGGACCGAGAUCCUUACUGAUCUUCUGGUUGUAUCAUUGCCUCCCUCUUUUGCAGGAACCUUGUCCUCAAGGUUCAAUGAGCCAAAUUUAUCUGUUAGUUCUUUGCUAUUUUCCCAGGUAGCUUAUUCUGGGGGUAAAUUCUUCCAUUGGACCAGGUUUUCUUCAAUAAUUUUUUCUCCCUUCUUGAUCCAUCGGGUUUCUAAAAUGGUUUGGGGUUGCAACAGUAGGUCCCCAUCUUCAGAUAUUUCAAACAGAUGUUCGGUCGGGGUAACUGCUUCACAAUUUAUUUUUUUAACAUGGAGAUGUGAAAAAAGGGAUGGAUACGUGACCCUUGUGGCAGCAAAAGCUUGUAAGCAACUGGUCCAAUUCGACGGAGGAUCUAAUAAGGUCCGUAGUAUCAACAAGCGAGUUUCUGAAAGGCUCUCUUGAAGACCAUUUGCUGUCGAUAUGGUCGGAGCCUGAGAAAGACCCAAUCACCCUCAUGAAAUUCGAUUUCUCGUCAAUGGGCAUUGGCGGUAGCUUGCAUGCGACUGUUGGCUGCUUGUAAAUUGGUUUGAAAUUGUUUAAGGAGGGCAUCUCGAUUACAAAGUUGUUGGUCAACUUCAUUGAUAAGGAUGGAGCCGUCGUGGUAACGAGGAAUGGGUGGCGGUGGCCUCCCAUAUAGGGCCUGGAAGGGUAUCAUUUUGAUAGAGGAGUGGUAGGUUAUGUUGUACCAAAAUUCGGCCCAAGGAAGGAGGGAACUCCACUUGCGUGUUGUUGGCAAUGUAAGCACCAUAGAUAUUGUUCCAAACUGCAGUUCACGACCUCUAACUGUCCAUCUGUUUGCGGGUGAUAGGAGGAACUCAUCCAGAGCUGAGGGCCUGACAGCUUAAAAAACUCUUGAUAGAAGCGGCUAGUAAAGACCGGAUCUCUGUCACUAAUUAUGGAAGGAGGCAUACUAUGUAGUUUAACCAUAUUGCCCAUAAAUUUUUCUACCACGGUUUUAGCAGUGUAGGGAUGAGCUAAAGCAAUGAAGUGCGCACUCUUACUGAAACGAUCAACCACAACUGAGAUAGUAUUCUUUCCGUUUGAGAGAGGUAGUCCUUCAAUGAAAUCCAUGAAAAUAUCAUUCCAUAUCUGACACGGGUUGGAAAUGGUUGGAGGAGACCGACUGGUGACAGUGUCUCGAUUUUGACACGUUGGCAGGUGUCGUUUGCCGCUAUAUAUUCUUUAAGGUCUCGGUGCAUGGCAUACCAAUAAAAUUGUUGGGCCAAUUUUUUAUAAGUUCGUUGGAAACCUGAGUGGCCACCGACCAAAAAUAAGUGGAAUUUCUGCAGUAAUUGUUGUCUGAUUUCUGAUUUAUGAGGAACAACAAUUUGAUUCUUAAAAUAAAUCAACUCGUUCUUGAGUGAAAAGGAACCACCUACUGAGUCAGUGGCUAACUUGCAGGCUGUUUACAUGUAGGGAUGAUCCACAGUUCCCCGGAUGGUGUCCCAUAAUUUAUUUUUAGGCAUAGAGAUAGCUGCCCAUCAAAUACAGACUCCAUAAUUUUAUGGCAAUAAUAAUGGCAAGCAUCUCUUUGGCGUAUGUUGACCAUGACUGCUUGACAGCGCCUAAUGCUCGACUCAUGUAAGCUAUAAGUUGCCCAUACUGGGUGAGGACGACCCCGAUGCUGCAACUAGAAGCAUCAGUUUCUAUGAUAAAUGGCUCUUCAAAGUUCGGGAGUGCCAAGGUAGGAGUAGUGGUCAUGGCAACUUUAAGGUUUUGGAAAGCUUAUUCUACUUCUUCGGACCACCCAAACUGCCCCUUUUUCAGGAGAUUAGUCAAAGGCCGAGCAAGGAUUCCAUACUACCGAACAAACUUCCGGUAAUAGCCAGUCAGACCAAAAAAUUCCCUUAAUUCCAUGACGUUAUUUGGUCGAGGCCAAUCUAAGAUGACCUUAAUUUUGGUUUGAUCCACUUUGACCCCUUGUGAGGUGAUUAUGUGCCCCAAAUACUCAAGUUCUUGUUGUCUAAAGGCAAACUUUUUUAGCUUAAUGAAAAACUAAUGUUGCCAGAUGAUGUCAAAAACCUACUUAACCUGCUUAAAAUGCAGUUCCUAGCUGGGACUAUAGAUCAAGAUAUCAUAAAAAAAACUAGAACAAACUUACGAAUGUGUUCGCAGAAGAUGUUGUUCAUGAUGGCUUGAAAGGUGGAAAGGGCAUUGAAGAGUCCAAAUGGCAUGACGAGGUAUUCAUAAUGAUCAUUAUAAGUGCGUAAAAUCGUCUUGUGAAUAUCUGUUGGGUGUACCCUAAUCUGGUGAUAGCCCGCGGUGAGGUCGAGCUUGGUAAAGAAAGCAGCUCCAUGGAGUUCAUCCAACAUGUCAUCAACGGUAGGGAUGAGAAACCUAUCUUUGAUGGUGACUGAAUUGAGGGCCAUGUAGUCGAUACAAAACCUCCAAGUCCCAUCUUUCUUGCGUACUAAUAGCACCGGUGAAGAGAAUGGGCUGGUGUUUGGUCGAAUCAGCCCUGAAUCAAGCAUUGCAUUUACCUGUUUCUGAAUUUCACUUUUCUGGAAAUAAGCAUAUAGGUAUGGCCUGACAUUUACGGGUUCAACCCCUUCAAAUUGAUGCGGUGAUGAACGUCUCGACAUGGAGGAACAGACUGCGGGUCCUUGAAGAGAUCCUUGUACUGAUCAAAGAGGACCUUCAUGUCAGGAUGGAAGGAAAGCAGAGAGGAAAAACCCUCUACCUGGAGCUGUACCGCAAACAGGGAGGAGUGCCUAAAUGUGCCCUUGGCGAUUUCUUCUACUGAAGUAAUCUAGAGUGGUGGGGCGUCAAAGCCCCGCAACUGCCGCAACCGACCAUCCCACUGGAAUUCCAUGGUCAUCCAACCCCAAUCAUACAUGACCAUCCCUAACGUUUCCAGCCACUGAAUUCCAAGAACCAGAUCGAGACCAGUUAAUGGCAAUGCAGAAAAGGUCAAAUGGAAGAGUAUACCUUAGAUGUUAACCGACACAUUCUCAAAUCGUCCGUAACACCUCAUUGGGCUACCGUUCACAACCUUGACUGAGAAGGCUUGGGUCGGGAGUAUUUGCAGUUUUAGCAAACUCGCAACUCGCUCACUAGUGAAGUUGUGAGUUGAGCUGCUUCAAUGAGGAUGAUGAUGUGUUGAUUACGAAUAGUUGCUGCAACACGCAUUGUCAACCAGUGAAAGUAUAAAGAGAAAUUUCAGGCUCUUCUUCCCUCAGUUCUUUUUCUUUUUCUUUUUUGGUCCCUUCCAAGAGCAGGACUUGAGCUCUGCGGCAGCGGUGGCUUGCGGUGAAUUUCUUGUCGUAGUUGAAGCAGAGGCCCUACAUUCAGCGCCGCUGCAUCUCUUCCCAUGAGAGGCGCUUGGGGGUCAAAUUUGCAGCUAGGGUUGGGGGCGGACUGAUACUCUGACCCAAUUGAACCUUCUCUGCCGACCCACUUGCUCUCCUUUAUACGGGCCAAGCUGAUGGCCUCCUUCAAGGAUUUGGGCCUGAACAUCUGGAUUUUCUCAACGAUCUUAGGCUUUAGCCCGCCAAUAAAUGUCCCUAUCAGGGCCUUUUGAGUCCAGCCUCUCACUUUAUUGCCCAAUCUCUCAAAUUCUCUUUGGCCCGCAAGGGCCCAGUCUGCCUCACUCGGGAUAAGGCUUCGUUGAAGUCUUCACAUUCAAGUGGCCCAAAACAAGCCUAGACUUCUUCGAAUCUGGUCCACGUCACCAUUCUUCCUUCUUCUUAAUAAGUCCAGUGAAGCCAUUGCCACCACUAGUAGGCUUCGCCCUCUAAGUAGAAAGAAGCUAGCUGUACCUUCUACUCUUUGUGAAUUCCUUGAUACUCAAAGAAUUGCGUGACGCGGUUGAGCCACUCAGUCGGGUCAUCUCCGGAGAAGAUAAGAAAUUCCAGCUUGGCGAGCUUGGAGAAGAAGAGCUCUCGGCCACUGUCAUUUCGCUCAGCUCCUUCGUCGCAGUUUGGUCGUGUUCCUCCAUUUCGUUUUGGGUUGUUGCAGUUGGAGCCUUCUCAGUUGAUUAACAGACUCUUUGUUAACCGUUUGAGGGUAUCCUCUAGUUGGUGGAGUUUAUCAACGACUCCGAGCUCCAUUCGGCUGAAGCUGUCCUGCAGUCCAUCAAUACUUACUUCCAAAUUCUUAAUCAUUUCCUUGUGAGACAUGGCUCUUAUACCAAAAUGAUAGGUGCCUAGAACAAUCACAAGAAGGAUUGCACGUAAAUUUCUAUUUUUGGGAUAAAAAACCACACCUUUUAUUUUAUUUCUUGCUUACCUCCUCAUCCAUAAUCUGAUGAGGUUUAAAUAGAAAUGAAACAACAAUUUCUCUUUGCUAUCCAGGGAGCACGAUGCCAGUAACAACCAAAAAAAUCUCACACCAAAGGAUAAGAUCAAUGCUGAAAUUAAAUAAUAAAAAAAACGGGGAAGUUGAUGCUGAAUAGUUUGACCGAAUCUUGUGGGAGUUCGACUUGCUUCCACGAUACCGAAAUCAGAUAUAUUUGGGAUUCUUGACUGGGAUCCUUGUGGAUCUUUUGGUUGUAUCACAUUGCUCCUAUCCCCUUAGCUCACUAAUGUUCACAAGACCCAAAUAACAAAGGAGACUUUAUUUCACUAACCUCUCUCUUUAUAACAUUGCACUUUUAACCAAAUUGGCCUGAUCUCUUUUGUAUCCUCUGCAAGGUUUCUAGUCCACUUCCUCAAUGCCAUAAAUUUGCGGGAGUCUAAUUCGCUCAUUUACACUUUAAAAUCUCAAGAUUCCCUUAUCCAAAAAGGUAUACUGGCAUGCAGAUGAGUUUUGAGAUUGAGGAUAUGUAAGGCAGUAAGCUUAGGGUUGACCAUUCAUACAUAGAUGGAUCCUUAGAUACCAAUUUUAUCGAUCCCUUGCACUUCCACCCCACCCCCUCCCCCUCACCCUCCAAUCACCUAAUCCCUAACCAAGAGGUCGGCUACCUUAUUCAUCAACCUUCAUACACAGAACACCUCUAUAUUGACUCAAGAGUAUCCCCAAGCAUAGUUCGACUCCUUCUCCAAUUACCCAUUUCUAACUAACCAAAUGCCCUUUACUACUGCUUGUGGGAGUAUACCUCUAGUGGGAAAUACACAACCUGGUCAAGGUACCGGCAACUAUUAACUCACACUCAUCCACCCCGCAUCUACUACUAACUUUAGAUAUUGAGACCUCCUAUUGAGAUCUAAUAUCCUGCCUAGCCAUACGAUUUUAUGAUGACAUAUCCUAUAUAACAUCUUGCUAGAAAUGCAUGCUAACACUUCAUUUGUUAAUGUUUUCCGUUACAUGAUCUAUAGUCAACAGAAUAUUAGAGCAUAUUCAACAUCUUUUUCUAGAAUGUCCACUAGCCUGAGUAUUGUGGUUACCUUUCACCAUGGAUCAUCAAGCCUCACAACUACCUGGCCUUACCAUCUCUAAUUAAGUAACCUAUCUACUCCUCAGUAACAACACAUCAUCACUUCAUUCACAUAUUUUCAAACACAUUGUUCUCUAUGCUUUUAUCAUUAUAGACCAAUGUUAUUACUGGCACAAUUAACCCAAACACAAUAACAUUCAACUACGACCUCUACAAUGUCACAUAUAGAUCAAGAAUAUCUACCAAGCUCAACAGUCAAUCUUACACAACAAGCCUUAUUUCCUAAUCUUCGAUAGAAAAUAUGGCAAGUCUAUUAAUUACUUUAGCAUCUGCGACUAAGCAUAAGAAAAAAUUUCUUUACGUGGUUAUCCAAGCAUCAAAUGUGUUGUUAGCCUCCACUUUUGUAUCUAGUUCAACGAGAGCUCAUUAAGGGUAUAAAUUUUGUACCGCAGCAACUGAGGAACCCAACGUUUUUGCAACCAUCAUUUUCAUCUGGAUCAUCGUUUUGCCGUGAGCCUUUUAGAUCAAGACCCUGCUCCAUCUGGCACUGGGCCCGAGAUUUCUAUUCAAUAUUUUAAUCAAAUGUUGGGCCUUUUUGACUUUAUCUAUAAAGCUCUAUACUCAACCCACACAACACUAGCUACGUUUUAUGGGGCAAAUAUGUUCUCUAAAGACUUGUACAGUCUAACAUAUAUUUACUUGUCAUAAAAAAGAAAAUAUAUUUUAUUUCCAUUAUGGUGAUUUGUUUUUAACAACGAACAUCAUUUCGUAAAUUGUUUGCUAUUCUAUAAAAUAUUAGUUAAUAAUAUUCUUGCUUUUAUUCUUGUCUUCCUAUUUCUAUUUAUAAUUAUUAAUUUAUCUUGCUUUCAAUAAGUAAAAUAUUUUAUUAAAUAUUAAAAAUUUAAUCAGUGAAAUUGUAACGGCCCCGAAAAUUCAAAAAGAAAUACAUAUAAUAAUCUGAGUGCGGAAGCAAAAUAAAAGAUUAAGGUUAACAUCCCUUACACAAUAACUUAAAAGUACUUAACAAUAUCAUGGAAUAAGUUCUCUAAAAGAAAUACGAGAAAUGAGAAAAAUAAAGGAAACUAUAAAGCAUCUAACAUCUACUCGCCAUCUUCUUGUGGAUCGGGUUCGGGAACUAGAUCCUCUUGAUCUGAAAUGGUUAAAUAAGGAAUGAGCUACACUAGCCCAGUAAGGACAUCACACUAUAUCACCGUCACAGAUGCAAAGAUUGGUAGAAAACCAAUAAAAAUAACCAAUGGAGCACAAAUUUUAAAGCAAUACAUUUAUUUAAAAUAAAACUAUUUACUCUUUUUCUUACCCUUGGAGAACCAGUGAAAACAACCUAUAAAAACAAUAACAUCAUACAGAUCAUAAUUUCAUGCAUAAUCAGUAACAUAAAACAUAUCAUAAAUCCAUAUUCAUUAACAAUAGCCGAUUAUCACCGUUUCUCGUUUUCACUAGCCUACUAAUAUCCAUGGAGAUCCAUAGGGGUGUCCCCGCUACACAUGAACCAUUCUCCUUAAAUGUCUUAAUUCUAUGGUCAUUUUCAUACCUCGUCCGAUAUGAGCACUAAAACCUUAAUACUACAUCUGGUAUGAAGGUGAAGCAGGUCGUCCCCAUACCCCGUCCUGUACGAGACGACGUUCACGGUAGAGUUUCCUAUGAACCCGGUCCGUCCACCAUCUCCCAGGAUAGCUAGUUAGGCUGUCACCUUAUCCAUUUUUCCUUAGUCUCUGUUACCAAGUUGAACAUAAUCACAUAAACAAUAAACAUACACCCGGUAAUACAAUCAUAUCGUAAAUUCUAAAAUCACACAGUGGUCAAGUAAGAUAGUAAUACAUGCAUUUAAAACCAUAGAAUAGAUAGACCAGAUACCAUAAUGCAUUUAAACUGUAAAAUAAAUCAAGCAGGAAUUGACAGAGAAUAAUUUUCGAUUAGAGCUCCAUUAACAACCUUAAUUAAUUAUACAUAUCUAUUAAUUUGCACAAAAUACAGUAUUACUAUUUAUUCAAACAUUAAUUCCAUGAUAGAAAAUAGGGUGAUGGGUCCUUACUUGAUUCGAUGCCGAAAACUAGAUUGUUACUGCGCCUACGGGCGGUCCCUGGGUUCCCUGAAUUUUUCUUCGGGAACUGAAACGCGCUUACGGUACCUACACAUAUCCCAAGUAACCCAAAAAUCACACCCAGGGCCACUUGGCCAAUUUUAAAAUUCUGGCACAGCGGCUCUGCCGUGCUCCUGCGACGGGCGGCGGUGAUCCGCCUCGGAUUAACUAUUUUCGGCAGUUUUCGACCGAAUUCAGCCAAAAUUGCAUCGGUUCCUGUGAGAAAACACACUUAGGGCCCUCGGUAGGCCGACAAAACGUAAAAAAUUGAAACUCACUGGCGGUGGGGCUCUCCGGUGCGGCGGCUCCUCCGGCUCACGAUGCGGUUGGAUGAUUUGCUCCGGUCAACCUGUAGAUGAGGAAACAGUGAUCACAACAGUGGAAAAAUCACAUCGAACAGGAAUCAGAACGGGUCUCAUCGGAGGCGAAAAUCGAAACACCCCACGGCAACACUGCUGAGCUUCGGCAGCAUUUUCUGGUCAAUUAGCCCGUUCUUUCACUUGGAUUUGGGCAUUGGUGGGUUUUGAAUCAAAUUCUGAGCAAAGGGUAGAAUUUUUACCUCGUUUGGCAGCUAGAAGCUGCUCUGGUGCGGCGGCGAGUGGUGGCGGUCAACUCCCUGCCGACUGGGUUGUCUUCUCCGGCGAUGAGCUCUGGCGACUAGGGGUAGGGUUUGGGUGUCGAUGGGGUUAUUUAUACCCAUCCACUUUUGAUAUGGGCCGUUCAUCGCUUUUAAUCUAGACCGUCCGAUCGCUAUUAAAUAGAGAGUGAAUCUGGACCGUUCAUCGCAAUUCAAUCUGGAUCGUCCGUGCGCGAUUCAAUCUGGACCCUCUGUGCGCGAUGUAAUAUGGAUUGUCCGUGCGCAUUUUUUAUCUGGGACGUCCGUGCACCCGGGAACGGAUCUCAGCCGUUCGAUCGCGCGCACGCGGAUCGCCCACAUGGCUCCCUCCUGCAUGGCCUCCCGCGUCAGCGUCUCUGCCACCUUACGCAUCCUGGUUGGUCGGGGCUACUGACCGGGUAGCUGACGUGGCAUAACUUUUUUAAAUUACGUUUUAACCCCCAAUUUCUGAUUUUUCUUUCAAAAAUACCAUCAGAACCCAAAAUUUCACCAUUUUUUCCAAAAUUAUUUUCAAUUAAAUCCCUAACCAAUUUUUUACCCUUUAUUAUUAUUAUUAUUAUUAUUAUCAUUUUUAUUAAAAUAAAUUAAAUUCAAUUAAUACAUAAUUAUAUUUAUAUAGAAUUAAUAAAAAUAAAAUAAAAUAAAAAUAAUUGGGUGUUACAACUCUUCCCCCCUUAAAAGAAAUUUGGUCCCUCAAAUUUACCUUUUACUCUCGAUCGAACAACUGGAGGUACUGGGCUAUAAAGUCUGAUUCUAGCUCCCAUUUAGCCUCCUUUGGUGUGUGGUUCUGCCAUACAACCUUUACAAAAGAUAUUUUUCAGUUGCGGAGUAAUCUGCUCUUUCGAUCCGUAAUGCCGACUGGUACUUCCUCGUAGGAUAAGUCCUCCUGGAGUGAGAGAGGUUUGUGGGCCAAGACAUGAGAGGGGUCUAGGUUGUACUUGCGUAGCAUGGACACAUAAAACACAUUGUGGACAUUAGAAAGCUCUGGAGGCAGUGCUAGUCUGUAGGCGGCAGUACCAAUCCUGUCUAAGAUUUUAAAUAGUCCAAUAAAUCGGGGGUUCAAUUUUUCCCUCCUGCCGAACCUACUAAUUCCCUUGAAAUGAGUGACCUUAAGGGAGUGACCUUAAGGAACACCCGGUCGCCUUUCUCAAACGCUAAAUCUCUCCUCCGGGUGUCCGCAUAACUCUUCUGUCUGCUCUAAGCCGUCUGAAUGUUCUUCUUGAUCUUAACUAUCUUGGAUGUAAUCUCUUCUACCAGCUCUAGGCCGAACAAUUUUCUAUCAUCCACUUCUUCCUAACAAAUCGACGAUCUGCAUGGGCGCCCAUAUAACGCAUCAUACGGAGCCAUGCCAAUGCUCGCUUGGUAGCUGUUGUCAUAGAUGAACUCUAUCAGGGGUAGAUGGUCAUCCCAAUGGCCCCCAAAGUCAAGGACACAAGUUUGGAACAUAUCCUCAAGUGUACAGAUUGUCCUUUCUGACUGUCCAUUAGUCUGAGGGUGGAAAGCAGUACUCAGAGACAGCUUUGUUCCCAUGAUUUGCUGAAAGCUACUCCAAAACCAAGAAGUGAACCUGGGAUCCCUGUCGGACACUACUGUCACUGGAACUCCAUUCAAUAUGACUAUUUUUCAGAUAUACAUUCUUGUUAACUUGUCCAAAUGAUCAGUCAUCCUGAUGGCUAAGAAGUGGGAAGACUUGGUAAGCCCGUCAACAACUACCCAGAUGGCAUCAUGUCCUGAGCGUGCCUUAGGUAACCCUGUCACGAAAUCUAUGGUGAUAUGUUCCCACUUCUACUCUGGAAUCGGUAAAGGCUGAAGUAACUCGCCUGGGCGCUGAUGCUGUGCCUUGACCUGCUGACAUACCAAGCAUUUAGACACAAAGUUAGCUAUGUCUCUUUUCAUCUCAUUCCACCAAAACCGAGGUCGCAUGCUUUGGUACAUUUUAGUGCUUCCGGGAUGCAUGGCAAACUUUUAGCUAUGGACCUCUGUCAUGAUGUCUCUCUUUAACUCACUAUCACCUGAAACACACACCCUGUCCUGGAAUCAAAGUAACCCAUCGGCGGAGACUUGGAAUUCUGAUAAAACCAUUGUCUCUCAAUUCAGUGAUAUGUUUCCUCAGCUCCUCCAUCUCAACGCGGCUCAUGCGGUAAGGAGCAACCGAAAUAGGCUAGGUGCAUGGCUGUAGAUCUAUGGUGAACUUGAAUUCCCUGUCCACUGGCAGUCUGGGUAGUUCAUCCAGAAACACAUCUGAAAAGUCUCGGACUACCAGAAUCUCUUGAAUACAAUUCUCUUUCUUGGGUUUGCCUAGUUAGAGAAAACAACAAGGUUAAGGUACUCGACAAAUAAGAAAACUUGUCAUCAAGGAAUAAAUACUAAAUGAUUUUAUUAAUUUGUAAAUAGCUCAUCAUUAGGAGGAUUGAAUACAACCUUCUUAUUAAAAUAAUCUACAGUGGUGUGAUACGCCGCUAGCCAAUUCAUCUCUAAAAUUACAUCAAAAUUCUCCACAUUUAAUUCUAUUAGGUCUACACUCAGUUUCCUAUUUACUAUCUCCACGGCACAAGCCCUGUAGACAACUUCUCCCAAUAGUGUUACACUCCCAACAGUAGACACAAAUAACAUUGAAUCAAGUUUAUCAGGUAAUACAUUAAAUUUGGAUGCAAAAACAGGUGAAACAAAUGAAUGUGAUGCACCAAUAUCAAUCAAAACAUGAGUAAGAUAGUUACAGAUAGUGUACAUACCUUGUACUACGUCCGGGUCGGCUUCGGCAUCCUGCUGGGUGAGGUUGUAAGCUCUGCCCUGAAUAGGAGGUAUGCCCUGAUUCUGGUUCCUUGAGCACUCUCUCGCAUAGUGUUGGGUACUACCACAUAUGCGAUAGGUGUUGUUGAGGCGGUAGCAUGGUCGGUUCCCAUGAUCCCUACCGUAAUGCUGACAGAUCUUACCACGUCCUGCCACUGGAGACUGAGGGGGAGCCUGGAUCACCGGUCUGGACCUCUUGUUCUGUUAGACAGGCGCAGUAGGUGCUGGUCUGCGAGGUGGAGCUAAGGGUCUGUGGUUUUCUGUUGACUGAGGGAGGGUGUGGAGGCUCCUUUCCAUUAACUGUGGCUUGGCCAGAACGGCCGAAUAAGUCCCAAGCUCCAGUACAAACAAAUGCUGCUUGAUCUCUGGGUGGAGACUCCACUGGAACCUCCUAGCCUUCCUGCCCUCAUCCAUCAACGUCUUAGGGGAGUAUCAACCCAACUCCAAGAACUUACGAGCAUACUCUGAUACAGUCAUGUUCCCCUGGACCAACUGGACAAACUUCAUCUCCUUCAGAUGUCGGAUGUGCUCUGGGAGGUACUCUGCAUGAAAGGCUGCUAGGAAUUAUUCUCAAGUAACUAAAACAGGCAGGGUGGUCUGCUUGAGUUCCCACCAGCAGUCUGCUUCUCCUACCAGCAUGUAGGUAGCAAGGGUGACCCUCUGCUCGGGAGUCACCCCUAGGGUCUUGAAGGCCUCUCCGUCUCCGUCAACCAGUACUAGGCAUCUUAAAAAGAGGAUUCCCCUACAAAAGUAGAUGGGUUCAGUCUCAUGUAGCUUGGGUCAAUCGUGGGAGGAAUUGGGUUCCGUGGAAGAGGGAUUGGGCUAGGCUGAGGAUAGACUGGGGGCCCCUGUGGUGGUACUUACUUAUAUGGUGGGGGCACUGGAUUAUAUUGUGGUAGUGCCUGGCAGUACUGUGGCUGGGGCACUGGAUUAUUCUGCGGUGAUGGUACCGGGUGGUACUGUGGAGGAGCAGGGUCGUACCGAGGUGGCUCAGGAUCCUCUUACUGCAGUGGUGGCUCAACCUGUGGCAACGGGGGAGGGUCAACUAGCUCCCUCCUCUCCUAUCGGCCUUGCUGGGUCGCAAUGAGUAUUUCUAACAUCUCAAAUAUCCUGUCCACGUCUUCCCUGAGCGAACACUCCCGAGCUACCCGGUUUAGUGGGGGUCUUCCUCUUCUCAUCUCUCUAUACAUGCAUUUCACAAGAAAGAGUUGAGUGAUAAUUCAUUGUUUGGUGUUUCUCUAAGUAUUAUUAUGUAAGGGAUUGGUCCGAGGAAUGCGGCUCUGAUACCAACUGUAACGGCCCCGGAAAUUCAAAAGAAAUACAUAUAAUAAUCUGAGUACGGAAGUGAAAUAAAAUAUUAAGGUUAACAUGUCUUACACAAUAACUUAAAAGUAUUAAACAAUAUCACGGAAUAAGUUUUCUAAAAGAAAUACGAGAAAUGAGAAAAAUGAAAGAAACUAUAAAGCAUCUAGCAUCUACUUGUCGUCUUCUUGUGGAUCGGGCUCGGGAACCAGGUCCUUCUGAUCUGAAAUGGUUAAAUAAGGAAUGAGCUACACUAGCUCAGUAAGGACAUCACACUAUAUCACCAUCACAUAAAUAAAGAUUGGUGAAAAACCAACAAAAAUAACUAAUUGAGCACAAAUUUUAAAACAAUGCAUUUAUUUAAAGUAAAACCAUUUACACUUUUUCUUACCCUUGGAGAACCUGUGAAAACAACUUAUAAAGAUAAUAACAUCAUACAGAUCACAAUUUCAUGCAUAAUCAGUAACAUAAAACAUAUCAUAAAUCCGUAUUCAUUAACAAUAGCUGAUUAUCACUGUUUUUCGCUUUCACUAGCCUACUAAUAUCCAUGGAGAUCCAUAGGAGUAUCUCCGCUACACGUGAACCAUUCUCCUUAACAGUCUUAAUUCCAGGGUCGUCCUCAUACCCCGUCCGGUAUGAGCGCCAAGACAUUAAACCUUAAUACCCUGUCCAGUAUGAGGGUGAAGCGGGUCGUCCCCAUACCCUGUCCAGUAUGAGGGUGAAGCGGGUCGUCCCCAUACCCCGUCCGGUAUGAGACGAUGUUUACGGUAGGGUUCCUUAUGAACCCGGUCCAUCCACCAUCUCCCAGGAUAUCUAGUGAGACUGUCACCUUAUCCGUUUUUCCUUAGUCUCCGUUACCAAGUUGAACAUAAUCACAUAAACGAUAAACAUGCACCCAGUAAUACAAUCAUAUCGUAAAUUCUAAAAUCACACAGUAGUCAAGUAAGAUAGUAAUACAUGCAUUUAAAACUAUAGAAUAGAUAGACCAGAUACCAUAAUGCAUUUAAACUGUAAAAUAAAUCAAGCAGGAAUCAACAGAGAAUAAUGUCUAGUUCGGGCUCCAUUAGCAACCUUAAUUAAUUAUGCAUAUCUAUUAAUUUGCACAAAAUAUAGUAUUAUCAUUUAUUCGAACUUUAGUUCCAUGAUAGGAAAUAGGGUGAGGAGUUCUUACUUAAUUCGACGCUGAAAACUAGAUUGUUACUGCGCCUACGGGCGGUCCUUGGGUUCCCUGAAUUUUUUCUCGAAAAUUGAAACGCGCUUACGGUACAUACACAUAUCCUAAAUAACCCAAAAGUCAGACCCAGGGCCUACUCGACCAAUUUUAAAAUUCCGACACGGCGGCUUCGCCUGCUCUAGCGACGGUGCCGCCGCCCACGGCGGCGAUUCACCUCAGGUUAGUUGUUUUCGACAUUUUUCGGCCGAAUUCAGCCAAACUUACAUCGGUUCCUAUGAGAAAACACACUUAGGGCUCUCGGUGGACCGGCAAAAUGCAGAAAACUGAAACUCACCGGUGAUGGGGCUCUCCGGUGCAGCAGCUCCUCUGGCUCACGUUGCGGUUGGGUGUUUUGCUCCGAUCAACCUGUAGAUGAGGAAACAGUGAUCACAAUGGUGGAAAAAUCACAUCAAACGGGAAUCAAGAAGGGUCUCAUCGGAGGCAAAAAUCGAAGCACCCCGCGGCGGCGUUUUCCGGCCAAUUGGCCAGUUCUUUCACUCCGAUUUGACCAUGAGUGGGUUUGGAAUCAAAUUAUGAGCAAAUGUUAGAAUUUUUACCUCGUUUGGUGGCCGAANNNNNNNNNNNNNNNNNNNNNNNNNNNNNNNNNNNNNNNNNNNNNNNNNNNNNNNNNNNNNNNNNNNNNNNNNNNNNNNNNNNNNNNNNNNNNNNNNNNNNNNNNNNNNNNNNNNNNNNNNNNNNNNNNNNNNNNNNNNNNNNNNNNNNNNNNNNNNNNNNNNNNNNNNNNNNNNNNNNNNNNNNNNNNNNUUUCACCUAUUUUCUUCAAAAUUAUUUUCAAUUAAAUCUCUAACCAAUUUUUUACCAAUUUUUAUUAUUAUUAUUUUUAUUAAAAUAAAUUAAAUUCAAUUAAUACAUAAUUAUAUUUAUACAGAAUUAAUAAAAACAAAAAUAAUAAAAAUAAUUGGGUGUUACAUAAAUAAAUAAAAUAUUAAUAAAAAGCAUGUAAAAUAAACAUGUCAAUUAAAAACAUGUUUUAAAUAAAAUUUAUAAAUGUUUUAAUUAAUGCAGAAAGAGAAUUAUAAUUAUAUAAUUGCCUAGAAAAAUGUAGAGCCAAAUGUGGGAUUUUUGUUUAUGGGUGUGUUUCCAGUUCAGGCUGCUCCAAUUCAAAGCUGUAAAUUGUAGGCACCCUAUGAGCACCUUUUAGCUUUGUACGUGAAAUGAAAACUGCAAAUCUGUAGAACUCACACUGAAACACACAGAUUUAAUCAC